rnacentral:rRNA from 1 species
UUGUCGAAUCCUGCAAAGCAGACGACCGCGAACUCGUGUAAUUGCCGGGCGUCGGGGAACGGGGGAGACUAAAGCCUCCCCUAACUCCCCGGCGCYCCCCGCGCACCGCGCGGACAACAACUCAACCCCGGCGCGGAAAGCGCCAAGGAAAACUCAAAAGGAUUGCCCGCCUCCCCGUGCGCGGGGUGUGUUGUGGCGUCUGUCGUAACCAAAACGACUCUCGGCAACGGAUAUCUCGGCUCUCGCAUCGAUGAAGAACGUAGCGAAAUGCGAUACUUGGUGUGAAUUGCAGAAUCCCGUGAACCAUCGAGUCUUUGAACGCAAGUUGCGCCCGAAGCCAUUAGGCCGAGGGCACGCCUGCCUGGGCGUCACGCAUCGCGUCGCCACCCCCCUUUUGCGGGGCGGCGGAUACUGGCCUCCCGUCCCAAGAAGGCGCGGCUGGCCUAAAUUCGAGUCCUCGACGGGGGACGUCACGACAAGUGGUGGUUGAAUGCCUCAACUCGAUUCCUGUCGUGUUCAUUGGCCUCGUCGUUUCUCGGGCUCCUUGACCCUUCUUGCUUGCAUCUCGAUGCGAGCCUCGACCGCGACCCCA